rnacentral:misc_RNA from 1 species
GUUGAAGAACGUAGCGAAAUGCGAUAAGUAAUGUGAAUUGCAGAAUUCAGUGAAUCAUCGAAUCUUUGAACGCACCUUGCACCCUUUGGCAUUCCGAAGGGUAUGCUCGUUUGAGUGUCAUUGUACUCUCACACUCUCCGAUCCUAUGGAUUCGGGGAGCGGUGGACUUGGGUGUUGCUGCCUUUCCUUGUGGCUCACCUCAAAUGUGUCAGUGCACCUCUUGGUUGGACAUAGUACGGCGUGAUAAGUGUCUUCGCCGGCACCUCGCAAGAGGGUGGCCGAUCGGGAGCUCUGUGCUUUCAAACCGUCUUCGGACAAUUUCUGACAACUUGACCUCAAAUCGAGUAGGACUACCCGCUGAACUUAAGCAUAUCAAUAAGCGGAGGA